GGCUAACUAGUGCCAGCAGCCGCGGUAUACGUAGGGGCAAGCGUGUCCGGAUUUAUGGGCGUAAAGCGAGCGCAGGCGGUUUUUUAAGUCUGAUGUGAAAGCCUUCGGCUCAACCGAAGAAGUGCAUCGGAAACUGGGAAACUUGAGUGCAGAAGAGGACAGUGGAACUCCAUGUGUAGCGGUGAAAUGCGUAGAUAUAUGGAAGAACACCAGUGGCGAAGGCGGCUGUCUGGUCUGUAACUGACGCUGAGGCUCGAAAGUAUGGGUAGCAAACAGGAUUAGAUACCCUGGUAGUCCAUACCGUAAACGAUGAAUGCUAAGUGUUGGAGGGUUUCCGCCCUUCAGUGCUGCAGCUAACGCAUUAAGCAUUCCGCCUGGGGAGUACGGCCGCAAGGCUGAAACUCAAAGGAAUUGACGGGGGCCCGCACAAGCGGUGGAGCAUGUGGUUUAAUUCGAAGCUACGCGAAGAACCUUACCAGGUCUUGACAUACUAUGCAAAUCUAAGAGAUUAGACGUUCCCUUCGGGGACAUGGAUACAGGUGGUGCAUGGUUGUCGUCAGCUCGUGUCGUGAGAUGUUGGGUUAAGUCCCGCAACGAGCGCAACCCUUAUUAUCAGUUGCCAGCAUUAAGUUGGGCACUCUGGUGAGACUGCCGGUGACAAACCGGAGGAAGGUGGGGAUGACGUCAAAUCAUCAUGCCCCUUAUGACCUGGGCUACACACGUGCUACAAUGGAUGGUACAACGAGUUGCGAACUCGCGAGAGUAAGCUAAUCUCUUAAAGCCAUUCUCAGUUCGGAUUGUAGGCUGCAACUCGCCUACAUGAAGUCGGAAUCGCUAGUAAUCGCGGAUCAGCAUGCCGCGGUGAAUACGUUCCCGGGCCUUGUACACACCGCCCGUCACACCAUGAGAGUUUGUAACACCCAAAGUCGGUGGGGUAACCUUUAGAACAGCCGCCAAGUA
rnacentral:rRNA from 2 species